CCUGGGAAGACAGAAAGACUGCGUUUGUGGGAACAUGACUUGAAUGCUUUGGCAUUCCCUUGUUUUGUUUUUCACAUUUAUUUGGGUGUGGCUGUUAGUACUUGCUGGAACAUGAAGGUUUUGUCAGCUCCUUGUGUUGUCCUUUUAUUAUGUUAACAUUUAUUUUUGUGUGGUUAUUAGAAUUGAAUCACCAGGUGAAGUUGGGUGAGGUAGGGACAUACAAGGCCACUUCUGUUUUCCUCUUCUGAUUGCCAUGGACUCCUUUUUAUAAAUGGGUAAAGAUCAGCAGGUUUAGUAGGUCUACAAAGCAGAGUUGGAUGUGAGUAACAGCCUUUACAUGUUAAUUUAACUAAAAGUUCCAUUAAAAAUGAGCGGGAGAAGUGGCAGGGAUUUCCUGUGUAUCCAUGUGGCGCUUCAGAAUGUCACAGAAUUAUGAAGGAGGGAUCUGGAAAGGAAUGAAUGCCAGAGAAAAGUCAACACCCCAUCAGUACAGUAGGAUGAAAAGCCUAUAGUAGAUGGGUUAACUGAGGUUUGACUUUAGAGGGAGCCUGAUAUUCAAAAGCAACAGGGAGGCAGUAACAUCCCUGAAUGGGAAAUCUACUGAGAGGUAGCUUCAGCAGCAGUCAGAGCUUGUGGUUUGCUACCACACUGGAAAUAAAUCAUAUGCAGCAGACAGAGCUUGGUUAAAAACAGAGCAGUUAUGGAACUGAGAGAGGAAAUAAAGGCUGGAAAUACCCAGAACGGUUGUCCUUCUGCUAACAAAGUGAUGCUAGGCUAAACAUGCGCUGCUGAAAGUAGGUCUAUGAUGGGAUAAGUUCUUAAAGAUACAGCUGCAGCAGAAUCAAGAACCACUCUCCCUCCUUUACAGAAAAACAACAAGAAGUCAAACUGACAAGAGAAGCCAGUACAGAGAAAAAGCCAAGAGUGACUGCAGCAAAAGCAAGGACUACGUGCAGCCUCCAGAGAACAUCUGCUCUCAGCCCUUCUGGGGAUGCUGGGUAAGUUAAGUUUUGCACUGAGCACCUCCUCUGGGAAAUGGAGGAGAGCUGUUUUUAGUACCCCUAAGAGCUAGAUAAGAUUAACAUACAUUUAGAGAGAUUACCAAGAGUUAAGAGGAAAUGUCAAAACCCCAUGGUACUCAUUCUCUCUUACAGUCUAGAAUGAGUACAUUUUUGAGGUGAAGGAAAGGAAAAAAAAAACGGGGAGUGUUUUGUUUGUCUGAAAUAUUUGGAGAUUUAGAAGACCCAAACAUUUAAAUAAUGCUUUGAAGAGGUUACAGCUGCUGCCCAAUGUUUUGUUCUUCCAAAAAUGUCCCUUGCUCAGAGACUCCAGCAAAAAUGUGUCCUCUGAGGACAGGAUGCUUUUGAAAAUAUACCAUUUUGUA
ensembl:lncRNA